rnacentral:tRNA from 1 species
GCCGCCGUAGCUCAGUUGGUAGAGCGCAUCCAUGGUAAGGAUGAGGUCCGGGGUUCGAUCCCCCGCGGUGGCU